AUUGAACGCUGGCGGCAGGCCUAACACAUGCAAGUCGAACGAUUGGCGGACGGGUGAGUAAUGUCUGGGAAACUGCCUGAUAGCGGGGGAUAACUACUGGAAACGGUAGCUAAUACCGCAUACCAUCAGAUGUGCCCAUAUGGGAUUAGCUAGUAGGGGGGGUAAAGGCUCACCUAGGCGACGAUCCCUAGCUGGUCUGAGAGGAUGACCAGCAACACUGGACUUGAGACACGGUCCAGACUCCGACGGGAGGCAGCAGUGGGGAAUAUUGCACAAGGGGGGCAAGCCUGAUGCAGCCAUUCCGCGUGUGUGAAGAAGGCCUGCGGGUUGUAAAGCACUUGCAGCGGGGAGGCGUUACCCGCAGAAGAAGCACCGGCUAACUCCGUGCCAGCAGCCGCGGUAAUAC
rnacentral:rRNA from 1 species